rnacentral:rRNA from 1 species
GACGAACGCUGGCGGCGUGCCUAAUACAUGCAAGUAGAACGCUCAGGAUGCACCGUAGUUUACUACACCGUAUUCUGUGAGUUGCGAACGGGUGAGUAACGCGUAGGUAACCUGCCUGGUAGCGGGGGAUAACUAUUGGAAACGAUAGCUAAUACCGCAUAAGAACAUUUACUGCAUGGUAGAUGUUUAAAAGGUGCAAAUGCAUCACUACCAGAUGGACCUGCGUUGUAUUAGCUAGUAGGUGAGGUAACGGCUCACCUAGGCGACGAUACAUAGCCGACCUGAGAGGGUGAUCGGCCACACUGGGACUGAGACACGGCCCAGACUCCUACGGGAGGCAGCAGUAGGGAAUCUUCGGCAAUGGGGGGAACCCUGACCGAGCAACGCCGCGUGAGUGAAGAAGGUUUUCGGAUCGUAAAGC